rnacentral:rRNA from 1 species
CAUAGCGACUAUCGUGGCAUAUCAAUAAGCGGAGGAAAAGAAACUAACAAGGAUUCCCUUAGUAACGGCGAGUGAAGCGGGAAGAGCUCAAAUUUGAAAUCUUCAAGGUUUUACCUUGACGAAUUGUAGUUUAAAGAAGUGUUUUCUGUUGAAGUUUUGGUAAAAGUUCUUUGGAAUAGGACAUCAUAGAGGGUGAGAAUCCCGUAUUUGACCAUUAUUUUCAGCUGUGUGAUACACUUUCAAAGAGUCGGAUUGUUUGGGAAUGCAGUCCAAAAUGGGUGGUAAAUUUCAUCUAAAGCUAAAUACUGGCGAGAGACCGAUAGCGAACAAGCACCGUGAGGGAAAGAUGAAAAGAACUUUGAAAAGAGAGUUAAACAGUACGUGAAAUUGUCAAAAGGGAAGCGUUUGACACCAGUGUUGUUUUCUCGAAAAUCAAUUAAAAAUGAUGGGAUUUAGUGUUGUAUUGACUUUAUCAGCUUUCUGCACUUUUUUCUUAUCUUUUUUAAUGCACUUUUCGUUUAACAAGAUCAACAUCAAUUUCUUUUGUUGUAAAAGAGUCAUUGGAAGGUGGCUUUUCUUUCGGAGAAAGUGUUUAUAGCCUUUGGCUUCUGCAAUCGGAGAGAUUGAGGUCUGCAGCGUAGAUCCUUCGGGGUUAGAUAGCAUUUGUGCUAAGCUAUAGUUCUUUCAUAGACAACUUGUUGACUAUGAUCAGUCCUGUAGCUUACUCGCUUAUGCUAUUUUACCUACGCUUAGGAUGUUGAUAUGCAUGACUGAUAU